GGCGCGGUGGGACAGGUGCCAGCGAUGCUCUCUGCCGGCGAGGUUGCCUCACGGCCGCCACCCCCAGCAGGGCUGCGGGGGGAAGGCAGCAGGGCCCUUCCCGUAAAGGGCGGCGGAGGGUUUGUCCCCAGGGACUUGGCGAGGACGCGGGUGCUCCGUGAGGCCUCAGCACACGCUGAGCCUCGCUCCCAGUGCGACGCGAGGCCCCUUCUCACACGGAUCACUGCCCCCAGGCUCAGCCCCGUGCUGCGCSGGCCCGGCUCACCGGAGCCUGGAGAGCAAGCGCUGUACGCUGGGCUCCUUCGCCAGGGCCAGAUCCUACCCCCAACUGGCAAGUGGAGUGGUGCAGAUAAGUCUGUACCACAUCAUGGGGAUCUUUAUGUAAACUGAGAAAAACUUCCCCAUACAAGACUGACAACACUGACUUAGCCAUCUUCUCAGCAUAACCCCCCACCCUCCCAAACCACAAACAAAUCA
rnacentral:lncRNA from 1 species